rnacentral:rRNA from 1 species
GACGAACGCUGGCGGCGUGCUUAACACAUGCAAGUCGAACGGAAAGGCCCUGCUUUUGUGGGGUGCUCGAGUGGCGAACGGGUGAGUAACACGUGAGUAACCUGCCCUUGACUUUGGGAUAACUUCAGGAAACUGGGGCUAAUACCGGAUAGGAGCUCCUGCUGCAUGGUGGGGGUUGGAAAGUUUCGGCGGUUGGGGAUGGACUCGCGGCUUAUCAGCUUGUUGGUGGGGUAGUGGCUUACCAAGGCUUUGACGGGUAGCCGGCCUGAGAGGGUGACCGGCAAAAUGGGGACUGAGAGAGGGCCAAGACGCCGAGGGGGGGAAGAAGGGGGGAAGAUUGCAAAAGGGGGGGAAGCCGGAGGCAGCAACGCCGGGGGGGGGAGGGCGGCCUGGGGGUUGGAACCCGUUUUCGCCGGUGAAGAAGGGGGAGGGAGGGGAAUGGGAAAAGAAGCCCCGGAUAAUUACGUG